ensembl:lncRNA
CAUUUUAAGAAUAUUUUAUUUAUCUUUUGAGAUUACAUAUUCAUUAUUGCUGAUCUAAUACAAUCACUUAGACAUAAAGAUUUCCAAGAGCCUCUCAGAAAUGGUGGUCCUUGGAGGUUUUAUUUCCUUUCAGUAAGAUGACAAUGAGAACUAGAUGAUUAUUUAUAUAUAUAUGUAUUACGUAUGUAUAUAUAGUUUAGAACUUGUCCACAUAUAAUUUGCUGGUGUUGCCUAUUUUCUUUCGGUACUUUUCCUUUAUUAAAAAGCUUAAUGCGACAAUGCAUUUUGAUUUCUCUUUUAAAACCAUGACAAAGUUAAUUUUGAGAAAACCACAGGAGCAGCAAUUUCAGAUCUGUUCAGAGAAAAGCCAAGCAGCAGAAAAGCUUUGCAGGAGUAUGUGGCCAUAGGGAGCCGUGCUCAUUCGGGAGGGGAGGAUGAGGAGCAACACUGGCAACCUAACCUCGAAGCCCAGUGGGGCUCCUUUUUCAUUUGGAGUGGGUCUCUUUGCAGUCACAAGGCAGACGGAGUAUGCAAUCAGGACCAGCACAUAGUAAGCUCCACAGGCAGCCAGUCUUUGCUGAGAAACAGGUUAUGACUUCUGGCUUAAGAAUAUAAUAGGCUAGAGUCCAGAUACUUGUCUAAUGGAAUAUGCUCUGGAUAUAAGAUGAGACACAGAUCUCAUCUGCUGAAUCUUCUGCUAAAGGGAUCCAAUUAAUUAAUAAUAAUAAAAAAUCAGAACUGGGUAGGCAAAAGGAAGAACUAGUGGAAUUUUCAGCAUUUAUGGAUCUUCAUAAAAGAAUAUAGCCACAUAUGUGCUGAGAUAUAUGGUCUCUGAGGAAGCAGCCUCUAUGGCCUGAGCUCGCGUACUAUUUAAAUGAGGCAAAUAGCUAUUUACCCUAAGGUUCACCUCCCUUUCUCCAAAAGGAAAGUCACUUCCAGAUUAGCUCUUAGGGCAUAUGUGAAGACCAGGGGAAGUUGGAGAAGGUAGAAAAUAGGGAGCAGAAUUAGGUUGUAAUGACCCUGGGUGGUCUUGUGUUUCCUUGAGUCACCUUGGUCUUAAGACUUUAAGAGAAAAAAGGGAAAAACAAAUAGACAAGAGCGAGAGUGUUAAAUAAGUUUAGCAGGGGGCAGAAUGGACUCAUUGCAUUCAAGAUUCCUAGGGCCAUUCCAGACUUUCUUAAAACCAAUCUGGUCCCAGUGGAACCCUUAAGACCAAAUAGGGCAGUCUCCAAAAGGAACCCAACUCUUAUGUGGGACACAAAAUUUCAGGCUGCUCAUAUUGCAAAUGUUUUAUAAUAUUGGAAUCACUCAAGAAACCACCUCUGCAGUACAGAAUCCUAAGAUGGACAAGGCCAGAACAUAAAAAGACAUCCUAGCAAAGAAGAAAGACCACAGACCAAAUUGCAGAGACAUUAGAUCUCAGUUUCAUCAGUGGCAAUGGCCAAAGGGAAGAAUGUCUGAUGGGGUUCAAACUAGCUCUGAUCAUCUGGAUUCAGUUUACAGUGUCAUCCCUGCAUAGCUUAGCCAGUUAAGCUGCAAACCCCUUCCCAGGAGACAGAUAUAUUUUGCUUCCUUAGGGUGCUGAGCUGUGGGCCUGAAAGGCCUGCUGCAUUUCCGAAGCCCUGGUCUCCCGCAUCCCUUGGAAAGCAAGCCUUUUCCUGCUCAGUUUCAGAAGGCAUUUUAGGUAACAGGAGGAAGCUGCAUUUCACAAUAAGCCUCCCUUUUCUGAGACAGUGCUGAUCUGGAGGGAGCUUCCUGGCAAACUAUCUGCUUAAAUGACAAGGAAGUCAAAGUAUGGGCCCCACGGGGCCGGCCCUGACUUCCUGAGCAGAGGCUAGUUGGGUUAGAAAGAUGGCAAAACAAAUGUCUGACAAACAUCAGAGCAGCUGAGGAAAGUAACAGAGGCACACUCCUCUUGGAACAUGAAAGUGUAAAAAUGGACAUAAAUCUUUAAGGAGAAGAAAGGAGUCCUGGGCAAGGAAGGAGACUCCUGGGAAGCACAGGCACAGCUGGGUCCUUGGCACAGCUCGCCAAGGCCACAGCACUCCCUCCUGCCCAGCCAUUUCAUAAAAAAGGCAGUGACAGUGAUGGUCGAGGCCGGGAACCCAGGCCCUGUUAAUUCAGCGGCUUCCAAGAGGCCUCACCUGGGGAAGGGCCAAAGCUGAGAAAGGCAGCUGCUAAAAACUGAUUCCAGAAAACCCAAAGACCAAGGAGUCUGGAAUCCCUGGGCUAACUCCUGAGCCUGGAUAAGAGAACAAUGACCAGUGCCGAGGAUCCAGCCAAUGGGGAAUGAGGCGAAAGAUGCACUGGGAACCCCAUGUCUUCUCCUCCUCAGCCGGUCCUCUGCAGCUCUCCCAGCCCACGGGGCAGCAACCACACUCUGGGCCAAGGCGACAGGCACAGGAGUCUAGAUUUUAAUAAAUAAAUAACCUAACAUAUAGGGUGAGCACGGCGGGCAGCUGAUUGGAGAAGCAGCUUGCUGGGUUCUUUCCCAUAUAGGAGUGGAGAAA